AUGAGAUCGCUGCCCAUUGUAGUUUUAUCCCUCCUGAUUCUUGUCCUUGCUGCCCAUGUAUCCCAAGCCGAUGACAAGGGCUCUCCAAGCGGAAAUGGGAAGGGUUCCCAUGAAGGUGACGGUGAUGAUCAUAAAUCAAAUGGCGUAGGGCCGGUGAAAAAGCCAAAAUGCCAUAAGCCCGGACGUGGUCCGAAAAACCAUGACAAUGAUGGUCGAGGACCACCGGAAAAGGAUUGCGAUGAUGAAGAAACAACACCGUCAUCACCGGGGCCUUCCCCAGACCAAGGUAACGGUUCGCCAUCACCACCGCCAUCCCCUUCUUAUUCUCCACCCAUGAAUACCCAGUCACCUCCACCUCCAUUAGAAACUAGUCCUACCACACCUCCACCCUACCAACCCAGCAAUCAAUCCCCUCCGCCACCAUCAUCAUCAAGCCCACCACCAACACCUCCAUCUAGCCCCCCUGUUACACCUCCAACCUACGAACCUAAUGAUCAAUCGCCACCGCCUCCAAUGAAUCCUCCACCCAUUACCCCACCACCUCCAUCUAGUCCACCUGUGGCACCUCCAAUGAGCCCGACUAAUCAGCCUCCUCCACCUCCCCCUGUAACGCCUCCAUCCUACGAACCGAACGAUCAAUCGCCACCGCCUCCAUUGAGUCCUUCGACCAUUCCCCCACCACCUCCAACUAGCCCUCCUGCAGUACCUCCAAUGAACCCAACUAAUGAACAACCUCCUCCACCAUCGUCAUCAUCUAGCCGCCCACCAAUAGCUCCAACUACUCAACCAUCUCCCUCUAGCCCACCUGCUACACCUCCAACAGACUCAACUGAUGAGGAAACUCCUACAUCACCACCAUCAUCUAGUCCACCAGUAACUCUAUUAAGUCCUCCACCACCAUCAUCGAGUACACCACCGGCUCCAUACAUUGCCACACCACCUUUGUCUAGUCCCCCUGCUACACCUCCAACAUACCAAGCUAACGACCAGUCCCCUCCACCUCCACCAUCAUAUACAUCUAGUCCACCACUAGCUCCAUCAAGUCCUCCACCACCAUCAUCUAGUCCACCAGUAGCUCUAUCAAGUCCUCCACCACCAUCAUCAAGUACACCACCGGCUCCAUCCAUUGCCAUGCCACCUUUGUCUAGCCCCCCUGCUACACCUCCAACGUACCAAGCUGAUGACCAGUCCCCUCCACCUCCACCAUCAUACAAUCCACCACCGACAGCUUUAGCUAGUCCUCCACCACCAUCAUUGAGUCCACCAGCAAUAGCACCAACCACUAGCGCACCUCCUCCAUCUACUUCCCCAUCGCCUAUGUCUAGUCCACCAGCAACACCUCCGACCAACCAAGGUAACCACCCACCGCCAUCAUCACCAUUAAGUCCGCCUACCACACCUCCGACGUACCAAGUUAACCAACCACCGCCGCCACCACAAUUUAGUGCUCCUGCCACACCUCCGACCUAUCAAGGUAAUGCCCAACCACCGGCAUCGGCAACAACACCGCCACUUGGUGCCCCUUCUGGCAAUGGAUGGGUGCAAGUUCAAAACUUUCAUGACGCCAUGUACUGGCAAAUCGGGCGCUUUGUGGUGUACAAGUUGGUAAACAAGAAGGACAACUCCCUUGUGGAUGUGCUCUAUGUGAGCAUGCAACCUGCAGGAAAGGGCAACAACUACUUUCUUGUGAUAAAAGUAGCAGAUGAAUAUAAGAAGGUCGGCAAGUAUCAUGUGCUCCUAUGGGGUGUGCCUGGGUCAGCAGAUGAAGCAUGGAAACAUACGACAGGCAAAUCUUUACAAACACCAAAAAGGAAGCUUCCCCUGCAACAGAGGUUACCAAAUAGCACGAAGCAAGCAGGACCAGAAGAUGUAACGCAUUACCUCCGAAAGAUGCAUGGUUUCAGCCGUGAAUGGUUGGCUCAGAUUCUUGCUGAGUGA
rnacentral:rRNA from 1 species